rnacentral:rRNA from 1 species
CGGUGGAUGAUGUGGAUUAAUUCGAUGCAACGCGAAAAACCUUACCUACCCUUGACAUGUACGGAAUCCUGCUGAGAGGUGGGAGUGCUCGAAAGAGAACCGUAACACAGGUGCUGCAUGGCUGUCGUCAGCUCGUGUCGUGAGAUGUUGGGUUAAGUCCCGCAACGAGCGCAACCCUUGUCCUUAGUUGCUACGCAAGAGCACUCUAGGGAGACUGCCGGUGACAAACCGGAGGAAGGUGGGGAUGACGUCAAGUCCUCAUGGCCCUUAUGGGUAGGGCUUCACACGUCAUACAAUGGUCGGUACAGAGGGCUGCCAAACCGCGAGGUGGAGCUAACCCCAGAAAACCGAUCGUAGUCCGGAUCGCAGUCUGCAACUCGACUGCGUGAAGCUGGAAUCGCUAGUAAUCGCGGAUCAGCAUGUCGCGGUGAAUACGUUCCCGGGUCUUGUACACACCGCCCGUCACACCAUGGGAGUGGGUUUUGCCAGAAGUAGGUAGCCUAACCGUAAGGAGGGCGCUUACCACG